rnacentral:rRNA from 1 species
CCUACGGGAGGCUGCAGUGGGGAAUAUUGGACAAUGGGGGCAACCCUGAUCCAGCCAUGCCGCGUGUGUGAAGAAGGCCCUCGGGUUGUAAAGCACUUUCAGUGAGGAAGAACGCCUGGUGGUUAAUACCCAUCAGGAAAGACAUCACUCACAGAAGAAGCACCGGCUAACUCCGUGCCAGCAGCCGCGAUAAUACGGAGGGUGCGAGCGUUAAUCGGAAUUACUGGGCGUAAAGCGCGCGUAGGUGGCUUGAUAAGCCGGUUGUGAAAGCCCCGGGCUCAACCUGGGAACGGCAUCCGGAACUGUCAAGCUAGAGUGCAGGAGAGGAAGGUAGAAUUCCCGGUGUAGCGGUGAAAUGCGUAGAGAUCGGGAGGAAUACCAGUGGCGAAGGCGGCCUUCUGGACUGACACUGACACUGAGGUGCGAAAGCGUGGGUAGCAAACAGGAUUAGAUACCCCUGUAGUC